GAAGUUAUGAAAUAUUUAGCAAGCACUGGAAAUAAGUACACAGCUUAAAUGAGAAUGCAACUAAAAGGGUACGGAGGGGAAAUCUUUAUAGAUUUAAAAGCAUGUCUUUGGAAACAAGAAAGAUUGAAAAUUAAUGAACUAAGCUCUAACUAAAGAAGCCUGGGAAUAACAUAAAAUAAAAAUAAAAAUAUCUUCAAAGAAAACAAUAGGCAUAGAAAAGAUGAGAAAAUGCACAGACACGUGGGCAGGAUUGGGCUAGCUCCAAUUGUGUAAAUGGGGCUGAGGCCACAUUUAUCCAGACUGACAAGUGAGGGUAUGUGUUCCAACAAAAAUCUGUUUGAUUUCAGAGGAGUGAUGUCUACAGAAACAUUCUUGUGCUUGACUAGAGAAGACAGGCUUGUGACUGCAGCUGCUAGCAAAGGCAUUCAGCUUCUUCCCCAGGAGAUCUUCAGGCACAAUGUUGAACUUGGAGAUCCAUUUGGAGCCUCCGGGAUAACGGUCACCUGAUUCAGAUUUUCUUAGUUACUGAAGUGUUUGGAGACGAAGAGACCCAGGUUGAGUCCUGAAAGGUCAGCUUUUACACCCCAGAGCAUUCUGCCACUUCAUGAUCAUCUUACGGGAUCCAGAGACACCCUGGUGUUUUCAGAAGGCAAGUGCAUCAUCCGUCCCCUGCUGGUAGUGCUGGUGCUAAGUUUGUGCUGGCAGAAGUGCAUAUUCACUUCCCAGGAGCCUUAGCGGGAGAACUGACCAUCUGAAAGGCUCGUUUUAUCCUGACAAACCAAAGGUUGUGACUUUGAGCAGUGCUGUGGGUUUACAUAAUGGGUUUUUACCAUGGCAAAACUUCCUCACAAUAGUGAGCUAUAAUCCUGCUGGAAAGAGCAAAUCAUGUCUAGGUGUAAGGGAGCAAUGACGACCAUCUGGGUCCUCAAACCUGAGAUGCAGAAUGGUGCCCUGAGUAGCCAGCUUCUCAGCUACACUAAUGACCAGAUGGGGGAUGGGGGUUGUUCCCUAAGAAGAUGGAGUUGGGUUGUUCCUUCAAUUGCUCCCUAAAGUCACCUCAUUGAAGCUUCCCCUGACCAACCUGUUUAAAAUCUGGCCCACAGAGGCUCCCAAUCCUCCUCUGUCUACUGUACUUUACCAUUUUCAUGCCAUGUAUCCUUUUAGUGUAGCAUAAUUAGCUCGUGUUGGAUUUUCAUCAUACUUCUGUAUUAGGAUGUAAGUUCCACAGUGGCGGGAUCUUUGUGUGUGUGGUUCACCACAUUAAACUGAAUCAUAUAAAGUGAAAUCUCUGUUUUAAGGACUGCUGCAAUGCUAUGUCCUAAGAAUAUAAAACAAUGCUGGUACGUAGUAGGCCCUCAAUAAAUAUUUAUUGAUGAACA
rnacentral:lncRNA from 1 species